rnacentral:antisense_RNA from 1 species
ACCGACAUCAGCGACUCGUUCUGCGACCCAUUGCCGACGGCGAGGUAGGCGUUCAUCCCCAGCUCGCGCAUCUGCUGUUCGCCGAUCACCCGGGUGAUGACGUUUUUGCUGUAGGUAUCGGCCAGCUGACGCGCCUGGGAAGCCAGAUAGGCGGCGUUACAGAUGUUCGGCGGCAUAUUGCCAAGAUCUUUCGC